rnacentral:rRNA from 1 species
AUGGGCGAAAGCCUGAUGCAGCAACGCCGCGUGAGGGAUGACGGCCUUCGGGUUGUAAACCUCUUUUAGCAGGGAAGAAGCGAAAGUGACGGUACCUGCAGAAAAAGCGCCGGCUAACUACGUGCCAGCAGCCGCGGUAAUACGUAGGGCGCAAGCGUUAUCCGGAAUUAUUGGGCGUAAAGAGCUCGUAGGCGGUUUGUCGCGUCUGCUGUGAAAUCCCGAGGCUCAACCUCGGGCCUGCAGUGGGUACGGGCAGACUAGAGUGCGGUAGGGGAGAUUGGAAUUCCUGGUGUAGCGGUGGAAUGCGCAGAUAUCAGGAGGAACACCGAUGGCGAAGGCAGAUCUCUGGGCCGUAACUGACGCUGAGGAGCGAAAGGGUGGGGAGCAAACAGGCUUAGAUACCCUGGUAGUCCACCCCGUAAACGUUGGGAACUAGUUGUGGGGUCCAUUCCACGGAUUCCGUGACGCAGCUAACGCAUUAAGUUCCCCGCCUGGG